rnacentral:rRNA from 1 species
GGGCUACCAUGCAGUCGAGCGGUAACGCCCUUCGGUGGACUCSAUCGGUGAACGGUGUGCAGUAACACGUKGGGAUAACCUGSCCUGUMCUCCUGRAUAAGCCUGGAUAAACUAGGUCUAAUACCGGAUACAACKCUKAGGAGGCAUCUGGURGGGUGGAAAGAUCCUGCGGYCUGGGAUGGACCCACGUGCCUAUCAUCUUGUUGGUGGGGUAGUGGCCUACCAAGGCAACUACGGGAAGACGGCCUGAGAGGGUGACCGGAUCACACUGGGACUGAGACACUGACCCACACUCCUACAGUCAGUACAGCAAUGGGGAAUAUUGCACWAUGGGCGAAAGCCUGAUGCACCGACGCCGCSUGAGGGAUGACGUCCUUCAGGGUUGUAAACCUCUUUCAUCAUGUCACGAAGCGAGAAUGACAGUACCUGCAAUAACAAGCACCGGCUAACUACAUGCCAGCAGCCGCGGCAAUACAUAUGGUGCGAGCGUUGUCCGGAAUUAUUGAGGCGUAAAGAGCUCGUACGCAGUUUGUUGCGUCAGCCGUGAAAACUUCACGCUUAACGUGCAGACCUGCRARUCCAUACGGCUCAGACUUGAGUUCGGCAGGGGAGACUGGAAUUCCUGGUGUAGCGAGAGAAAUGCACAAAUAUCAGGAUGAACACCGAAUGGCGAAGGCAUCUCUCUGGAUCCAUACUGACACUGAGGACCCAAAGCGUGAGGAGCGAACUCGAUUACAUACCCUGGUAGUCCACVCCGUAUACGAUGCC